GACGUAGGGCGCGAGCGUUGUCCGGAUUUAUUGGGCGUAAAGAGCUCGUAGGCGGUUUGUCGCGUCGUUCGUGAAAACUCACAGCUUAACUGUGAGCUUGCGGUCGAUACGGGCAGGCUAGAGUUCGGUAGGGGAGACUGGAAUUCCUGGUGUAGCGGUGAAAUGCGCAGAUAUCAGGAGGAACACCGGUGGCGAAGGCGGGUCUCUGGGCCGAUACUGACGCUGAGGAGCGAAAGCGUGGUGAGCGAACAGG
rnacentral:rRNA from 1 species